GUGAUUACAUGCCUGGUAAAGCUCAGGAAUAUAAAGAGGAAGAGGAGAUCAUCUGAGCCUCAAGGAGCUCAUCAUCUGAUAAAGGAAAAGGCAUUUAAACAAAUUCUUACAAUUGCAGAGUAGAGAAGCUCUAAGAAAGAUGAGGAAACAGGUUCACAGAAGUCAGGACCUUUGCUGAAGCCACAUGCACAGAGUAAUUAUGAAGGACUUUCCUCAUCCAGUGGACACAACUCAUUCAGAAGGAAGCAGUCUGUUCAACAAAAUUCUCCAGGGGAAGUUGCUCUCCCAGGAAAACCAAACCAACACACAGACACAAGGUGUGAAGUUACUCUCCGUGCCUUCUGCUCUAUACUUCCUUGCCCGGUUCCGGGUCGUGAUGUUCCCUCCCUGGACAGGGAAUGAAAAUGUGCAGAGUCAAUUCUCAAUUCUGUCACUUUUUAGCUGUGCGAUGGCUAAUACUUGAGUUGUUUAUACCUCCACUUCCCAAUCCGCAAGAUGAGGCGAUUGUCCCAGAUUUUAUGGAAAAUCCCUCCCAGGGAAAGAGUCACACAGAUAACAGCUUUGGCUCCUGACCCGGCUGGCACAGCUGGGGCUCCCACCACGCUUCAUUGAGCAACGCAAGCCCCUUGGUAAUCCUGUGAAGCAGCCAGGGCAUGCCAUCGAGUGGAUUCCGACUCCUAGAGACCCCGUGUAUAGCAGAACGGAACCCUGCCUGUCUUUUCGCUCCAUCUCCUCCCCUUCUGGCACCAUCUGAGACAAUGCCCUGCUGCUGUUCAUAGGGGUUUCAUGGACAAUCUUUUUGGAAGUGGGUUGGGUGGCCAGCCGGAAACUUAUCCACCAUUGGUG
rnacentral:lncRNA from 1 species